GUGGGGAUCAGGUAUAGUUCAUGCUAAAGUUUGGAUCUCAGACAGUAGAGAUGUUUAUAUUGGGUCUGCAAACAAUGACUGGAAAUCUCUUACUCAGGUGAAAGAAGUAGGAAUAUAUCUCACUGAUUGCCCAGAAAUAGCAAAAAAGGUUGAAAUCUACUAUAACAACCUUUGGAAACUUUCCCACCUUAAUGUUUCAGCUUAUACAAGAUCAGUUUGGGAUCAGCAAUGGCAGAUUAAUCGCAAGGUUCCAUGUUGGUCCCAUUUUAUAAAUCCUAAAGAAAGGUGCAGAUCACCACUUCCCAAGUACGUGGAAAUUGCUCAUGUCUCUGGCUACCCUGUAUUGUCAGACCCGUACAUGUCUCACCUUUCCAUGGAGACACCUGGAGUCAAUGAUUCAUCUUCCAAUCCUCAACCCAACUAUCUUUCAUUUGC
rnacentral:misc_RNA from 1 species